rnacentral:lncRNA from 1 species
UUAAAAAUAAUUUUAAUAAGUAAAAUUAACACUUUUCAAAACAAAUACUCUUGAUCAAAAUCAAGAUUUUUCAAAAUCAAACUUUAACUUUUUCAUUUAAAAGCAAAUCAUUUUCAAUUCAAAAUAAAUCAAAACGCUUUAUUCUUAUCAAAUUCUUUUUAAAACUUGAACGCUUCAUAAACUCUUUUUCGCAAUAAAUAACUGAUUGAAAAGUGAUUAUUUG